rnacentral:rRNA from 1 species
GAUGAACGCUGGCGGCGUGCCUAAUACAUGCAAGUCGAGCGAAUGGAUUAAGAGCUUGCUCUUAUGAAGUUAGCGGCGGACGGGUGAGUAACACGUGGGUAACCUGCCCAUAAGACUGGGAUAACUCCGGGAAACCGGGGCUAAUACCGGAUAACAUUUUGAACCGCAUGGUUCGAAAUUGAAAGGCGGCUUCGGCUGUCACUUAUGGAUGGACCCGCGUCGCAUUAGCUAGUUGGUGAGGUAACGGCUCACCAAGGCAACGAUGCGUAGCCGACCUGAAAGGGUGAUCGGCCACACUGGGACUGAGACCCGGCCCAGACUCCUACGGGAGGCAGCAGUAGGGAAUCUUCCGCAAUGGACGAAAGUCUGACGGAGCAACGCCGCGUGAGUGAUGAAGGCUUUCGGGUCGUAAAACUCUGUUGUUAGGGAAGAACAAGUGCUAGUUGAAUAAGCUGGCGCCUUGACGGUACCUAACCAGAAAGCCACGGCUAACUACGUGCCAGCCGCCGCGGUAA